UUGGAGGCUCGUGGUGGAGGCAAAGAGGUGCAUAAAUGGUUCUUGACAUUGCCAGAGCCAACUCGAGAGUUGGUGCGUGCUGCAGGUUUUGAGACAUUCAUUAUGGGUCUUAAUAUCCCGAAGACAGAUUGGUUCCUAAUGACCUCGCUAGUUGAGAGGUGGUGGGAUACCACCAACACGUUCCACUUUCCUUUUGCUGGUGAGAUGACGAUCACACCAGGCGACUUCUCUUUGCUUAUUGGCCUACAAGUAGGCGGGGCUCCUUUUUGGGUUGAUCCCAAGCUCUGGCAGCGAAUAGGAGCUUUAGAGUGGUUUUUUGGGCAAAUUGCCUCAUCUCCAUUCACGCGGUCAUAUUGACUUCUCUUGGUUGAGCAAGACUUUUAUGAAGGCUAAUAUUUUGACUCAAGUGAGCGUUGAACAGUUGACACGGGCUUUCCUUCUCUACCUCCUUGGGCAGACAUAGUUUGCCAACAAGGAUAGCUCGAUGCACGUACUGUUUUUGGCCCCUUUGCAGUAUUUGGAGGCGACUUGGGAGUUCGACUAGGGAGCAUCUACUUUGGCCACCUUGUAUGGCAACCUUGGAGUUUGUUCAUGGGACAAGAGUCUCAUCCUUGACGGCCACUACCGAGUGCUUGAGCUCUGAGCUUUCGAGCAUCUUCUUCGGUUUCCUACUGACACUAGACAUGAGGAUGCGAACUGUGUUCCUCGCUAUGAAUGAUGGUUGGUGGGGCAACGAAAGCCGAGGUCACCAGUUCUGAGCCUUCUUGAGUGGCAACGAGUUUUAGACCGACGGACGGUUGAGCAAGUGUGCUUUGACCCUUGGAGCGGUGUACCAGAGGAUUGCCCCCCUUGCGCAUUCUAGAGUCUUGGACCGUACUCGUAGCUUACUCGAGGGCCCUUUUUGCCGGGCUUGGUAUUUGGGCGACUGGGUGGCUAGUCAGUGGCGCCCACGAGCUGAGGCUCUUCAGUUUGUUCCUUCUCCACCUUCGACGUCGAUGAGAUCCACCUCUUCAAUGUAAUGCUUAGAUUAGAUACUAGACAGGCUUGCUUCUUCAGGCAGGUGACUACAUGGAGUAUUGCCGUCUUUUCUUGACUCCACCUGCUGUUUCUCCAGUUGCUCCUAUUUGGCCACGGGCCCCUUCUUUUGUUUCCUUUCACUUUGCUGAGGAGAGGAAGAGCGCUUAGCGCUUGCUCCUUGUUCGACCCAGCUUUGCACGUUACCGGCUGGAGUUUCACAAGUGCUUGCUGAGGUAGUGUAGGAAUGGCUGCGUGCUUAUCAGAGUGUGGAGGCUCUGGUUCAGAUGCAGUGCCGUCAAAUCCUUGAGGUAUGGUUCUCUUGUAUGCUUUUUUGCUUUGUGUUCUUUCUUGAACCUGAAUGCUUGUAUCGUUUUUCUUACAGCUUGAGGCUGAGCGAGUACCAGCUGCCAGUGGGGAGGAUGUGGGGACCAGUGAGCAAUCCCCUUCUUCAUCUCAGAGAUCGUCUCGGAGACGCCAUCAUGACUAGCCUUAGGAUUUUUCUUUCCCUGUCCAAAGUUAGUAAAAAGACAGGAAGAAACUGUAUGUAGUGAAUGCAACCACAGUGAUGAUUUUGUAAUCAAGUUUUUUGUUCAUAAAAUGAGAAUUGCCCCUAAAUGUUUUGAGAUUGCAUGCGAGAGUCAGAGCAUGGCUUUUUGAACAAGUAUUUGUUGUUUCCUGGAUAAAUAGCCAGAAUUUGAAAACAUAAAG